rnacentral:rRNA from 1 species
AGUGAACGCUGGCGGUAGGCCUAACACAUGCAAGUCGAACGGCAGCACAGUAAGAGCUUGCUCUUACGGGUGGCGAGUGGCGGACGGGUGAGGAAUACAUCGGAAUCUACUUUUUCGUGGGGGAUAACGUAGGGAAACUUACGCUAAUACCGCAUACGACCUACGGGUGAAAGCAGGGGAUCUUCGGACCUUGCGCGAUUGAAUGAGCCGAUGUCGGAUUAGCUAGUUGGCGGGGUAAAGGCCCACCAAGGCGACGAUCCGUAGCUGGUCUGAGAGGAUGAUCAGCCACACUGGAACUGGGACACGGUCCAGACUCCUACGGGAGGCAGCAGUGGGGAAUAUUGGACAAUGGGCGCAAGCCUGAUCCAGCCAUACCGCGUGGGUGAAGAAGGCCUUCGGGUUGUAAAGCCCUUUUGUUGGGAAAGAAAAGCAGCAGGUUAAUACCCCGCUGUUCUGACGGUACCCAAAGAAUAAGCACCGUCUAACUUCGUG